rnacentral:rRNA from 1 species
GACGAACGCUAGCGGCGUGCUUAACACAUGCAAGUCGAGCGGUAAGGCCCCUUCGGGGGUACACGAGCGGCGAACGGGUGAGUAACACGUGAGCAAUCUGCCCAUCACAUCGGGAUAACUCCGGGAAACCGAAGCUAAUACCGAAUACGACCACCUCCGGCAUCGGAUGGUGGUGGAAAGUUCCGGCGGUGAUGGAUGAGCUCGCGGCCUAUCAGCUUGUUGGUGGGGUAACGGCCCACCAAGGCUUCGACGGGUAGCCGGCCUGAGAGGGUGACCGGCCACACUGGGACUGAGACACGGCCCAGACUCCUACGGGAGGCAGCAGUGGGGAAUAUUGGACAAUGGGCGAAAGCCUGAUCCAGCAACGCCGCGUGAGGGAUGACGGCCUUCGGGUUGUAAACCUCUUUCAGCAGGGACGAAGCGCAAGUGACGGUACCUGCAGAAGAAGCACCGGCCAACUACGUG